AUGGGAAACUACACAUAUAUACUGUAUGCUAUACAAAUAUUGCAACAUACAUGGGUGCCAAUGCGGAUGUCGAUGUUGCCUAUUGUAUGUUUGUUGAUUCUGUUUGAGGCACAUAUGUUUGUUGAUUCUGUUUCUGGGUUGGCCCUUGAGGGGGAGAGGAAAGCAAACUUCAGCAUGCUUCAGAUUUCUGCUCUUUGGUUGGCAAUGGUCCGAAUGGAGGUCAAACUAGCAUUCCCCCAGGACAGACCGCCACUUUCCGUCAUUUCGGCUGCAAAGAUUGCAGGUGUUUCCAUAAUCAUUGAUCCGACCCUUGCCUCAGGUUCAGUGCCCACACUACACUUCAGUUCUGGGGAUUUUAUACAUGGUGUCAACACAAUUCUCCGAUACAUUGCACGUGCUGCAUCUGUUUCCAGCUUCUAUGGCCAGGACGAUAUUCAGGCAGCACAAGUUGACCAAUGGCUCAAGUACACACCACUCAUUCUCUCAGGCUCUGAAUUUGAAGCUGCUUGCUCAUUUCUUGAUGGAUACUUGGCAAAUCGAGCCUUUUUGGUUGGUUAUGGUCUAUCAAUUGCUGACAUUGUCGUGUGGUCAAAUCUCACAGGUCACCAUGGUUCCAUUGUCAUAUCAUUCCUCAUAUGCUGCUGUUUAGCAUCACAAAAGAAGAAGGCCAGAGUUAUUUCUUCCUUUUGGAUAUUUUCCAUCAUAACUAGCAGCCAAUCUGAGCCGAAUAUCUGA
rnacentral:rRNA from 1 species